GGAAGGCGGCGCCAAGUGGUAGGCAAACCGGUUUGAACCCGGUGCUGCUGGAAACGGUAAGGGUUCGACUCCUUCGCCUUCCGCCA
rnacentral:tRNA from 1 species